AGCACUCUGGCGAAGGAGGGUAUCGCGUUGGGCUCAUAACCCAAAGGUCGUCGGAUCGAAACCGACGAGUGCUA